GAUGUGUCGGUUCAAGCGGGAGGGGGAAUAUGGAAGGGCCGGGCGGUAUCAGGAAUUAUAGGGUUUAAAGGGGGCGUAGGCGGGAGAGUAAGCUGGUUGUGAAAUGGAGAUGCUCAACAUCUGAACUGCAGCGCGAACUGGUUUCCUUGAGUACGCACAAAGUGGGCGGAAUUCGUGGUGUAGCGGUGAAAUGCUUAGAUAUCACGAAGAACUCCGAUUGCGAAGGCAGCUCACUGGAGCGCAACUGACGCUGAAGCUCGAAAGUGCGGGUAUCGAACAGGAUUAGAUACCCGAGUAGUC
rnacentral:rRNA from 1 species